rnacentral:rRNA from 1 species
GACGAACCGUACGAACGUUAUUCGGAAUCACUGGGCUUAAAGGGUGCGUAGGCGGCGCUGAAAGUUGGGUGUGAAAUCCCUCGGCUCAACCGAGGAACUGCAUUCAAAACUACAGUGCUUGAGGGAGACAGAGGGUGAGCGGAACUUAGGGUGGAGCGGUGAAAUGCGUUGAUAUCCUAAGGAACACCCGUGGCGAAAGCGGCUCACUGGGUCUCUUCUGACGCUGAGGCACGAAAGCUAGGGGAGACGAACGGGAGUUAGAAUGACCCUG